rnacentral:rRNA from 1 species
AUGAACGCUAGCGACAGGCCUAACACAUGCAAGUCGAGGGGUAACGGAAGUAGCUUGCUACUAGACGACGACCGGCGCACGGGUGAGUAACGCGUAUGCAACCUGCCUUGUACAGGGGGAUAGCCCGGAGAAAUCCGGAUUAAUACCGCAUAAUAUGAUUGAUUCGCAUGAAUUAAUUAUUAAACCUACGGGGGUGCAAGAUGGGCAUGCGUAACAUUAGCUAGUUGGUAAGGUAACGGCUUACCAAGGCAAUGAUGUUUAGGGGGUCUGAGAGGAUAGUCCCCCACACUGGUACUGAGACACGGACCAGACUCCUACGGGAGGCAGCAGUGAGGAAUAUUGGUCAAUGGGCGCAAGCCCUGAACCAGCCCAUGUCGCGUGCAGGAUGACGGCCCUAUGGGUUGUAAACUGCUUUUUUACGGGAUAAUGUCAUCUACGUGUAGGUGUUUGAAGGUACCGUAUGAAUAAGGAUCGGCUAACUCCGUGCCAGCCGCCGCGGUAAU